UACGAAGGGGGCUAGCGUUGCUCGGAAUGACUGGGCGUAAAGGGCGCGUAGGCGGUGAACACAGUUAGGCGUGAAAUUCCCGGGCUCAACCUGGGGGCUGCGUUUAAUACAUGUUCGCUUGAGUUCGGAAGAGGGUCGUGGAAUUCCCAGUGUAGAGGUGAAAUUCGUAGAUAUUGGGAAGAACACCGGUGGCGAAGGCGGCGACCUGGUCCGAUACUGACGCUGAGGCGCGAAAGACGUGGGGAGCAAACAGG
rnacentral:rRNA from 1 species